UGGCUAUUUCUCAAUAUGUAGCUUGAACAUGAGAUGAAAUGGCCAACUGUUGGCCAGACUUUGGAGAAACAGGUCUCCUGUAAAUUACAAAAGUACCCAGCUCAAAGGCUUAGAGAAUACAUAGGCCAUUGCUCUUCUGAUAUGAAAAUGAUGCUACUAAGUGCCUCUUCGCAUCCUUCACCAAGUUCCAUGCAACUCUCUUUCAGGAAAACCCACUCUACUGGAGUCCAAGCAGGGGCCUCACAGGAUAGUGCCUGCUGGCAUAGUGGUCUCUGUUCCAAAAUUCCACCUGAAUCAUGAAUGGCUUGGAACAAUCCAUCUCGAUGAAUGACAUGGAGUGCUGAAUCACUGGAAACAUGCUCUAGACGCUUAUACAACACUGCAAACAUCCUGAAUGGCCAUUAACUACACAUCCAAGAGUUCUUCCAGUUUGAAAUAGAGAAGAUUCUAGAGUUUCUCCACCAAUGGCACAAUUCUGAGCAAAUUAACAGGAAAGUAACCACAUCCCACAAAAUAAAAACAUCACUGGAAUUAUUU